rnacentral:rRNA from 1 species
UACGUAGGGACCAAGCGUUGUUCGGAUUUACUGGGCGUAAAGGGCGCGUAGGCGGCUUGACAAGUCACUUGUGAAAUCUCCGGGCUUAACUCGGAACGGCCAAGUGAAACUGUCAUGCUAGAGUGCAGAAGGGGCAAUCGGAAUUCUUGGUGUAGAGGUGAAAUUCGUAGAUAUUCGCAAGAACACCAGUGGCGAAGGCGGCUCACUGGCCCGGUACUGACGCUGAGGUGCGAAAGCGUGGGGAGCAAACAGG